CCUACGGGGGGCUGCAGUGGGGAAUAUUGGACAAUGGGGGCAACCCUGAUCCAGCCAUGCCGCGUGUGUGAAGAAGGCCCUCGGGUUGUAAAGCACUUUCAGUGAGGAAGAACGCCUGGUGGUUAAUACCCAUCAGGAAAGACAUCACUCACAGAAGAAGUACCGGCUAACUCCGUGCCAGCAGCCGCGGUAAUACGGAGGGUGCGAGCGUUAAUCGGAAUUACUGGGCGUAAAGCGCGCGUAGGUGGCUUGAUAAGCCGGUUGUGAAAGCCCCGGGCUCAACCUGGGAACGGCAUCCGGAACUGUCAAGCUAGAGUGCAGGAGAGGAAGGUAGAAUUCCCGGUGUAGCGGUGAAAUGCGUAGAGAUCGGGAGGAAUACCAGUGGCGAAGGCGGCCUUCUGGACUGACACUGACACUGAGGUGCGAAAGCGUGGGUAGCAAACAGGAUUAGAUACCCUUGUAGUC
rnacentral:rRNA from 1 species